rnacentral:rRNA from 1 species
CAAUAGCGUAUAUAAAAGUUGUUGCAGUUAAAAAGCUCGUAGUUGGAUUUCUGGUGGGAGCGAUCGGUCUGGCGCUUAGCGCGAGUACUUGCAUCGUCUCCGGCCAUCCUUGGGGAGAGUCUGUCUGGCAUUAGGUUGUCGGGCAGAGGAUCCUCAUCGUUUACUGUGAAAAAAUUAGAGUGUUCAAAGCAGGCUUAUGCCGUUGAAUAUAUUAGCAUGGAAUAAUAAGAUAGGACUUUGGUACUAUUUUGUUGGUUUGCGCACCAAAGUAAUGAUUAAUAGGGACAGUUGGGGGUAUUCGUAUUCCGUUGUCAGAGGUGAAAUUCUUGGAUUUACGGAAGACGAACUACUGCGAAAGCAUUUACCAAGGAUGUUUUCAUUAA